rnacentral:rRNA from 1 species
GAGCUUGCUCCCUGAUGUUAGCGGCGGACGGGUGAGUAACACGUGGGUAACCUGCCUGUAAGACUGGGAUAACUCCGGGAAACCGGGGCUAAUACCGGAUGGUUGUUUGAACCGCAUGGUUCAAACAUAAAAGGUGGCUUCGGCUACCACUUUCAGAUGGACCCGCGGCGCAUUAGCUAGUUGGUGAGGUAACGGCUCACCAAGGCAACGAUGCGUAGCCGACCUGAGAGGGUGAUCGGCCACACUGGGACUGAGACACGGCCCAGACUCCUACGGGAGGCAGCAGUAGGGAAUCUUCCGCAAUGGACCAAAGUCUGACGGAGCAACGCCGCGUGAGUGAUGAAGGUUUUCGGAUCGUAAAGCUCUGUUGUUAGGGAAGAACAAGUACCGUUCGAAUAGGGCGGUACCUUGACGGUACCUAACCAGAAAGCCACGGCUAACUACGUGCCAGCAGCCGCGGUAAUACGUAGGUGGCAAGCGUUGUCCGGAAUUAUUGGGCGUAAAGGGCUCGCAGGCGGUUUCUUAAGUCUGAUGUGAAAGCCCCCGGCUCAACCGGGGAGGGUCAUUGGAAACUGGGGAACUUGAGUGCAGAAGAGGAGAGUGGAAUUCCACGUGUAGCGGUGAAAUGCGUAGACAUGUGGAGGAACACCAGUGGCGAAGGCGACUCUCUGGUCUGUAACUGACGCUGAGGAGCGAAAGC